CACAAAGAAUGUAUGCGUCUUAUUACGAUAAUAAAAAAUAUGGACUACAGUACACAUUUUUUAAUUUUUUAAUUUUAUUUCUUUCAUUUCAGCACACAGACCAAAACACCCUACCCCCAAAGGGGUUCUUCACCAAAAUAACCCUCGAAGAAUUUAUGAAACAAAGACUCAUCAACAACCCGCUGGACAAAUUCAAAGAAUUUAAACCAAUAGAAACGUAAGUGUACCCCAAAAAAUUCAUUCAGUUAUGAUUGUCACAACCAACAACAACAACAACAAUGAGUAAGCAUAACAUUGGCAUAGAAAACAAGAAGACACUAUACUUCUACAAUCACAGUAGUAAAGCAAUAGCAGUCAUUCUCGUAGACAAGAACGAUCAAAAUGAUGGGUCCUCACUGUGUAUGAAAAUAA